GUUUCCUCUUAGGACAUAAUCGGCGAAUACAGAACAGGCUACCGUAACGAAAGUUUCAACGAGGCUGACAUGUGGAAGAAUAUAUUGGGAGAUAUACUCGUUUACUGCCCUAUGCAAUACUUGGCCGAGAUUCUAUCUGCUCUCGGAAACAAGGUGUAUACUUUUGUCCUGGAGACAGGGCUAGACUUCAGAGGAGGUGCACGUGCACAGCGUUACGAUGACUUGCAUUUAUUGUUCGGCACUCCUCUCCGGUUCAAGGAAGGUUACUACGAGGCGGACAAGGAGCGUACCAUUACAUUCCUAAUCAAUUGGGCUACGUUUGCAAAAACUGGGAAAUUACCCGAUAUAGUUUCCGGUCAACAAGCCUGGCCCGUCUUCAACGCCAAGGAUCCCAAAACAGUACUCGUCAAAUUUGGAGGACAAAGUGAAAUCGUCAAAACGGUUCGAGCCGAACAAUGUGAAUUUUUGAGAAGAUAUAUCCUUCCAAAGCGAAGGAGCUAAUUACUGGCCAACCUUUGUGUCAUAAAGAGGGUGCGGCCAAUUUGGCACACGAGAUUUCACAG
rnacentral:lncRNA from 1 species